rnacentral:rRNA from 1 species
UUGGAGGGCAGUCUGGUGCCCGCAGCCGCGGUAAUUCCAGCUCAAUAGCGUAUAUUAAAGUUGUUGCAGUUAAAAAGCUCGUAGUUGAAUUUCGGGGUUAGUAGGUUGGUCAUGCCUCUGGUAUGUACUGGUCUCACUGAUUCCUCCUUCCUGAUGAGCCGUAAUGCCAUUAAUUUGGUGUUGCGGGGAAUUUGGACUGUUACUUUGAAAAAAUUAGAGUGUUUAAAGCAAGCUAACGCUUGAAUACAUUAGCAUGGAAUAAUGAAAUAGGACGUUCGAUCCUAUUUUGUUGGUUUCUAGGAUUGACGUAAUGAUUAAUAGGGAUAGUUGGGGGCAUUAGUAUUCAAUUGUCAGAGGUGAAAUUCUUGGAUUUAUUGAAGACUAACUACUGCGAAAGCAUUUGCCACGGAUGUUUUCAUUAAUCAAGAACGAAAGUUAGGGGAUCGAAGACGAUCAGAUACCGUCGUAGUCUUAACCAUAAACUAUGCCGACUAGGGAUCGGAUGAUGUUAAUUUAUUUAAUGACUCAUUCGGCGCCUUACGGGAAAC